GAUGAACGCUGGCGGCGUGCUUAACACAUGCAAGUCGAACGGAAAGGCCCAAGUUUGCUUGGGUACUCGAGUGGCGAACGGGUGAGUAACACGUGGGUGAUCUGCCCUGCACUUCGGGAUAAGCCUGGGAAACUGGGUCUAAUACCGGAGAGGACCACGUCUUGGAGGUUGUGGUGGAGAGUUUUUGCGGUGUGGGGUGAGCUGGCGGCCUAUCCGCUUGUUGGGGGGGUAAUGGCCUACCAAGGCGUCGGCGGGUAGCCUGCCUGAGGGGGUGUACGGCCACAUUGGGACUGAGGUACGGCCCAGACUCCUACGGGAGGCAGCAGUGGGGAAUAUUGCACAAUGGGCGCAAGCCUGAUGCAGCGACGCCGCGUGGGGGAUGACGGCCUUCGGGUUGUAAACUCCUUUCGCUAGGGACGAAGCGUUUUGUGACGGUACCUGGAGAAGAAGCACCGGCUAACUACGUG
rnacentral:rRNA from 1 species